GUGGACAUGGCAGGACCCUCCUGUAUCGAAUCUGAAUGCUGGAAAUAGCUAUCCUUUCGAAGUUGAUCUACCUACAUACUUCUCAUUAUGUGACCCUUACUACGGAGGGCUAUCCGUCCCAACAGACGUUUCAGUCGGCCAACCUGUUCUCAAUUGCUCAUACUUUAUGGACUCAAACACUCCCUUU
rnacentral:ribozyme from 1 species